rnacentral:rRNA from 1 species
CACCAGUGGUGAAGGCGGCCUCUUGCGUUGUUUUUGACGCUGAUGGCGGAUAGCUACGUGAGCGAACGGGAUUAGUACCCCAUUAGUCCUAGCCGUUAAUGAUGGAUGAAGUGUGUGGGGGGUAUAGAUCCCUCUCCGUGUCGAAGUUUAACGCGUUAAGCAUCCCGCGUGGGGAGUACGGCCGCAAGGCUUAAACUCAAACGAAUUGACGGGGGCCCGCACAAGCAGCGGAGCGUGUGGCUUAAUCCGUUGCUACACGAAGAACUUUACGUGGGCUUGACAUGUAGGUAUUAUUGAAGCGAAAGCUGAACGACCCUUCGGGGAGCAUACACAGGUGUUGCAUGGCUGUAGUCAGUUCGUGCCCUGAGGUGUCGGGUUAAGUCCCGUAACGAACGCAACCCUUGCCCUUAGUUACAUGUGUAUAAGGGGACUGCCCGGGACAACUGGGAGGAAGGUGGGGAUGACGUCAAGUCAGCAUGGCCUUUAUGUCCAGGGCUACACACUCGUUACAAUGGCCGGUACAAUGGGUCGCCAAGCCGUGAGGCGGAGCCAAUCCCCCAAAGCCGGUCUAAGUUUGGAUUGUGGGGUGCCAUUUGCCCAUAUGAAAAUGGAGUUGUUAGUAACCGCGGGUCAGCAAUAGUGCGGUGAAUACGUUCCCGGGCGUUGUUCA